rnacentral:rRNA from 1 species
UACGUAGGGUGCGAGCGUUGUCCGGAAUUAUUGGGCGUAAAGAGCUCGUAGGCGGCCUGUCGCGUCUGCUGUGAAAUCCCGGGGCUUAACCCCGGGCGUGCAGUGGAUACGGGCUGGCUGGAGGCAGGCAGGGGAGAACGGAAUUCCCGGUGUAGCGGUGAAAUGACGCAGAUAUCGGGAGGAACACCGGUGGCGAAGGCGGUUCUCUGGGCCUGUUCUGACGCUGAGGAGCGAAAGCGUGGGGAGCGAACAGG